CGGACGGCUGAGUAACACGUUGGUACCUGCCCCAUACACAGGGAUAGUCUCCGGAAACGGAGUUUAAUACCUGAUAUUCUCUUCGGAGGAAAGCUUUCGCGGUAUGGGAGGGGCCUGCGCAUGAUUAGUUUGUUGGUGAGGUAACGGCUCACCAAGACUUCGAUCAUUAGAUGGUCUGAGAGGAUGAUCAUCCAGACUGGGACUGAGACACGGCCCAG
rnacentral:rRNA from 1 species